AUUGAACGCUGGCGGCAUGCCUUACACAUGCAAGUCGAACGGCAGCACGGGUGCUUGCACCUGGUGGCGAGUGGCGAACGGGUGUGUAAUACAUCGGAACAUGUCCUGUAGUGGGGGAUAGUCCGGCGAAAGCCGGAUUAAUACUGCAUACGAUCUACGGAUGAAAGCGGGGUACCUUCGGGCCUCGCGCUUUAGGGUUGGCCGAUGGCUGAUUAGCUAGUUGGUGGGGUAAAGGCCUACCAAGGCCACGAUCAGUAGCUGGUCUGAGAGGACGACCAGCCACACUGGGACUGAGACACGGCCCAGACUCCUACGGGAGGCAGCAGUGGGGAAUUUUGGACAAUGGGCGAAAGCCUGAUCCAGCAAUGCCGCGUGUGUGAAGAAGGCCUUCGGGUUGUAAAGCACUUUUGUCCGGAAAGAAAUACUUGGCACUAAUACGGUCGGGGGAUGACGGUACCGGAAGAAUAAGCACCGGCUAACUACGUG
rnacentral:rRNA from 1 species